GGAGAGACGCGGGCGACGCGCUCGCUGCAGUUCGAAGUUUUUCCGUAAGGACGCUCGAAGGCGAGAGAUACCGUAUGUCAUGCGAUAUUUUUCGAUUUUCCACAGGGCUGGGGGGAGAAGGAGGAGGAGGAGGAGGGGAAUGCAAUGGGACAUCUCUGCUGUCUUCGGCGGCCGAUAUUUUACCGGCUUCUGACACCUCGGACAUCUUGUCCACUUUCUCUCUCUCUCACUCUAUUUUCUCUCUCGUUUUUCCAGCUCGUCGGAACCAAUCAAACAGCCGGCCACUAUAGGACAAACCAAUCGGAGCGCUCGGUCCCCGGGCCGGAGAGACCUACUCUUCGCUUAAAUGCCACAUCUAACUCUCACUCUUGUAAGAUUUCAGUUAGCCCACCGCACUAGGACCCCGACCAGAAAAGCAGAGGACCCAGGUUCCAGCCCGAGUAUUUCCAGCCCAGGAAAAAAUAAAAAAUAAAAAAAACUGCCUCGUGCACGUCCACGACUCCCCCCACUCUUAAAAAAAUUUUAAAAUUAAAAAAUCGCCUCGUGGACGUCCACGAGUCCCCACUCUU